GCGGCGUGACCGGAACGGUAAAACGACUGACUUGUAAUCAGUAGGUCCCGGGUUCGACUCCUGGUGCCGGCACCA
rnacentral:tRNA from 1 species